CUGAUGUUUUUCUAGCUAGUCCGUUUGUUGGAAACUAUAUUGACUGAGGCUCCAGUUUGCCUACCCAAAAAUUAAAACUAAUGAAAUAAUCGCGAAAGCAUCUCACGAGUCAUAAGUGUUUCGAUGUUCAACCUGGUUAUAGCAAUUUGUCAUGUAAGCAGUUGUUCAAUAUCGCGGUUGAAGGAUUCCAUUGAGCUCAGUUAUGUUCAAUAAGGAUUCUUGAAUAAUUCCUAAAAACUACGCAACCGUGAUCAAUGACUCUUAAAUCUAAUUCCAUUGAGCUCAGUUAUGCUCUCUUCUCGGCAAUCUUGUCGACCUUGAGGCCGCUGUUUGCCUAUGCACAACAGUGAAACUCAACCUUCUCGGCCUCAACCUCAAUCUAUCUACUCAUACUUUAUGAUUUCAGGGGAAAUGCACCUCCAAACAAUACCAGCAUAUAUUGCACUUGUAACGCACUCUGCUUGAAACGAAUGAAGCUUGUUUCUGCCUAUUUGCUUGCCGUGCUCGGUGGAAACACUUGUCCAUCUUCGGACAAUUUUAAGGAUAUCCUAGGCACAGAACAAGGACAAGAUUGCAUCAAGUUCAGGCAUGAACACAAGAUGUAACUGCACGAAGUCCCACUGUCGGAAACAUUAUUGUGAAUGUUAUAAUGUAAUUAGGGUGAUGCGACGGAUUUUAUUCAUGCCGAAUGUUAUAAUGUAAACAAUUUAUGUAUCUCUCUAUUAUUUUGGUGAAUGUAUUAUUUGAAUAUAAUUAGAUUUUA